GGACGGGAACCCCUACCUCCAAGUUCCCAUGGGCCCCAGACGUCUGGGCGGGAGGGAAAAGGAGAGGGGGGGGAAUCGGAGCCCCUGCCUCCACAUUCCCAUGGUUCCCGGAGACCCGGGAGGGAGGGAAGCAGGGGGAUGUGGGUCUCUGAGCAUUUUCCAGGUUCCGUGGAAUGGGUCGAGCCGACAGAUGAGAGGCAUGUAGAGGGAUCGGAGGUUCAGGACAAGUUUGUCCUGGAAGCGGCAUCCAUGAACACUGCUGCCUUGGAUGCAGUAAGAACGCUGGUCCGAAGCAGCCUCCAGCAAGACGCCAGUGCUUCCACUGCAAUCAGAGAGGACAUUUUGUGGUUCAAUGUCCGUUUCUGGGCAGGGCACCCCCAGGGACAGUGGGAGGGGGGGAGGGAGAUCCCAUUCCCCCAAAAAACUGAAGAAACAACGCGCACCUGCCUCGCGUGAAGAUAAAAGGCAGGCAGGCCACAGCACCUUAAGGGGAGCUGUGAGUUAUCAAGUAACUGUGCAGGUGGUAGUUCAGAACAUCAGGGUGCCUUUGAGCGUGGCAGAUGACCCCACCAAUCGGGGGGUUGCAUCAAACCGCAGGCGACGCAAAAGAAAAAGGACCCUACAAUCUCCUUAAAAAAUGUUUUUCCCCAAAGCCCCAGUCUGUGUGUGUCCCAAAUCCCUAUGUUUGUAAUAAAGUUGCCUCCCAGUUUCCCUAUCCCUAAACACCCGGAAAAGAACCAACCGCAGCACCAUCUUCAGGCCCUCUCCACCUGCGUAGCAGUCAGUCGCUGCAGCAGCAGCAGAAGCUGGGAGAAGAGGCCACCGCUUGAGAGACUGAAUCAACACCACUGCUUUCUUUUUAUAUUUUAUUAAGCGGGGAGAUGUUGCAUCCCGGAGUUUGGGUUUAGAUUAGGGUUUUUAAUUUAUGUUAAAAUAAGUCAAGUUCUGUAAUCCCGCGUUUCCCCCGCGUUGUUCCCCCCCGCGGUUUCUGGCCCCACGCUGCCUGCUGCCGGACCUUACCCCUGUGCCGCUCCUGUAAGCACCCUGCCGUCCGGCCCCGGGAAACCCCGUGCUGGCCGCCCCGAGCCACACGGUCCCGCUCAGCCCGCUCUGGCUCGGUGCCCGCCCCUGCGGGGUUCUCUGGUUGGUCGCUGUUGCUGACGUCACCGCCACGGCAGCCGCCCCUAUUGGCCGGCAGGCCGUGGAUCCUCUCGCCACGCCCCUCUAUAAAGCCCUAUCCCGCCGGCAGUCAGGCGCCAUUUUCUCCCAUGCGAGUGCCGGGAGCGGUCGCGUCUUUCCAUCGAUCCGCGCCGCGUGACCAAUAAACCGUUCCUGCCAAGCACGGAGUAAAUGGACAAAUUCCUUACCUCUUUGCCGGGUCCCUGGCGCACGGUAACAGAGACUGGCCAGCCCACGCGCCCGAGACACGGAGCCGUGUCCGGGAACCCGCGGCAGCAAACCCCGGCAGCACGUGGAAGCUACGCCACAGCCGGGCUCCCAAGAGCUGCGUGCAGCCGGGGAGAGCAAAAAACCCACGCCGCAGAGUACCACACCUUACACACCUUGAAGAACCCUGCAUGAAGAACCCUGCAGAGGUGAUCCCUGGCAGAAGAAAUGGCUUUGCAUAUCUAAGCAAGAAUUCAGGACAUUACCCUGCUAGACAGAGGGGCACAUGGAUCACUGUACAGGCCUCUGAAGCCUUGUUGUGGUUUAACCCCAGCUGGCAAACAGGCACCACACUGCUGCUUGCUCACUUUCCCCCCUGGAAUGGAGAGAAAUGGAAGAGCAAAAGUGAGAAAACUCAUUGUUUGAGGUGUUCAGCCAUCGCCAGGAAAGUUGGGCUCCAGCACGCAUAACAGAGGCCCGAUGCUACACACAAAAGGAGUGGCAAGUGAGACAUACCAUAAACAGGCAGAGCAGAAGCAGGAAAUACUGAAUGCCACAGGACUGAAGCUACAAAGACUCUUUUAAAAGAGGAACUGGUUAAAUUAAGGCCAAAUUCUAACUCUCAGCUAUGAAGCAAA